GUCUGGUGCCGCGAGAUUCCUUUCUGAGGCGGCAGGUCUUCGAUCUUCCUUUGAGUGGUUGCUGGCUGCCCCUGGGGUGUGACGAGCCGUGGGACCCAGCUCUGAGGAAAAAGUAAAGCAUACCUGGGAGAGUGGUGAACAGAUGGAUGUGGGACAAAAUCAUGUCAGUUUUUCAAUCUAAAGAGCUGGCUAAGACAACUCUGCUUCUCACCUUCCUUCAAUAACCUCAAAGCUGGUCCUAAAUACUUCUGCCUGCUGGUCCAAACUUUGUUGGUGAAUGGAAUCAACUGCAGAACUCUUUACCUUUUAGAAGGUGAGAAAGCUCACUGAUUACCAAGUAGGUAUCUUGGCAUCUGACCUGCUAGAAUGAAGAUCUCUGAUUCCAAGCCAAGUAGUUCACUUUUGUGCAAGAAAUCCCGACUGAUGGAGUCAAAAAGGCAAUAUUUAACAAGUGCCUUCUGUGGAAAUGAAUGAUGUUUGUUGAAGCCACAUGGUUACUUUUGGAAUGGCCUGCUAGAUUUAGAAUGAGUGAUGGAGAGUAUGUCUUUGAUGUGCAAACAGUUACUUCUGUUAAGAGUGGUGAAUCAAGUGUCCUGGAAGUCCCUGUCAUUGCACUGUGUUCUAUCAGAACCUCUGAAAUAUGCUGCUUUCAUAUGGAAAAAACAAGCUAUAUGUACUUGGAGUUGCUUUUCCAGCAAUGAUGACUGAUUUGCCCUGCAAAUUGACCUUUUCUCACCCAGGCUUCUUUGUGGCUAGUGGUCUUCAUUUGCAUGAUGAUGGGAUGAGGUUAGACAUACAGUUCAUGAACAUGGGGGAGAAAACCAAGUGGCACACAUGGCCAGUUCAACUUGUGACUCAUUUGUACUACACACAGACCAAAUGCACCCAUUGCUCAUAAGAUAAAACAAAACCAGGAAGGAAACAAAGGCCUUAAUUAUUCUUCAGCUCUUUUUGCACACUGGCAAAGUGAAGCUUAUUGCUUUCAGAAUCUUAAGGAAAAACAUUUUCUACUGAUAGAUGAUUGCUAAUCAUCAGGAGUGUUCUGUGGCAUUUCUGUGAAUAUGUCAUUCCCAGCUAAACUUCCUUUUUUACUUCUUAAACUUAAUUAUCCAUUAAAAACAUGUUUCGGAAAAGAUGACCCUGCUAUUUGGAGUGAUAUUACAACCUGUCAUCAGUCCACAACCUUGUGGGGGUAAAACUGUAUUUUUGAAACAAGUAGCACCAUUUAUCUUUGCUUAAAGAUUGAAUUAAAGAUGGUCUGUGUGAAAGUUCAGGCCCAGUCCAUACAAGCUGGGGACCAGCUUCCAACUGCAUGGCUUUCAGAGGAAUUAUGAUACCAUCU